rnacentral:rRNA from 1 species
AUUGAACGCUGGCGGCAGGCUUAACACAUGCAAGUCGAACGAGUGGCGGACGGGUGAGUAAUGCUUGGGAAUCUGGCUUAUGGAGGGGGAUAACGACGGGAAACUGUAGCUAAUACCGCGUACCAUCGGAUGUGCCCAAGUGGGAUUAGGUUGUUGGUGGGGUAAUGGCUUACCAAGCCGACGAUCCCUAGCUGGUCUGAGAGGAUGACCGGCAACCCGGGAACUGAGACACGGCCCGGACGCCUACGGGAGGCAGAAGUGGGGAAUAUUGAACAAGGGGUGCAAGCCUGACGCAGCCAUGCCGCGUGAAUGAAGAAGGCCUUCGGGUUGUAAAGUACUUUCGGUGGGGAGGCGUUAAUCACAGAAGAAGCACCGGCUAACUCCGUGCCAGCAGCCGCGGUAAUAC